rnacentral:lncRNA from 1 species
AGAUGAAGCAAUUCCCUUUAACAGAAUCAAUUCAGUGUAGAGACAGAGAAAUCAUUGAAGGCCCAACUUUCACUGAAAACAAACUUCAUGUACCAUUUCCAAAAUGAGUGAGCAGGAGGUCUCUUACUCAACUGUGAGAUUUAAAAAGUCUUCAGGGCGGCAGAACCAAGUGAGGCCUGAAGAGACUCAAACGGCCAGAGAAGCUGGCCACACAGGUCAGUCCCCUGGCAGCUCAUUGUGGUAGCUCUUGUAAUCCUCUGUUCCCUUCGGCUGGUAGCUGUUGGAAUGAUCCUGACAAACAUUUUUCAGUAUGCUCAUGAAAAACAUGGAGUGCAUGAAAUUCUAAGCCACAAGUAUAACUACAGCACCAUGCAAAAUGACAUCGAUUUAAAAGAAGAAAUGCUAAGGAAUAUUUCUAAAAAUUGCAGUCGAGGCAAUGAUCUUCUGCAAUCUCUAAUCAGAGAACAGAAAAGAUGGUACAGUGAAACUAAGACUGUUAUACCUUCCUCUCAGCACACAGGCAAAAAUGUUGAAAUACACUGGUUCUGCUAUGGAAUAAAAUGUUAUUAUUUCAUUCUGGACAAAAAAACCUGGAUCGGAUGUAAACAAGCAUGCCAGAAAUCCAGAUUAUCCCUUCUGAAGAUAGAUGAAGAGGAAGAACUGAAGUUCCUUCGGCUCCAGGUUCUUUCAGACCAGUACUGGAUUGGAUUGUCAUACAAUAAAGCAAAACAGGAAUGGUCAUGGAUUGAUAAUGGCCAAUCUGA